AUUGAACGCUGGCGGCAGGCCUAACACAUGCAAGUCGGGCGAUUUUGGCUUCGGCCGGAAGAGCGGCGAACGGGUGAGUAACACGUAGGAAUCUGCCUGGUAGUGGGGGACAACGUUCCGAAAGGGACGCUAAUACCGCAUACGCCCUACGGGGGAAAGCUGGGGAUCUUCGGACCUAGCGCUAUCAGAUGAGCCUGCGUCGGAUUAGCUAGUUGGUGGGGUAAAGGCCCACCAAGGCGACGAUCCGUAACUGGUCUGAGAGGAUGAUCAGUCAGACCGGAACUGAGACACGGUCCGGACUCCUACGGGAGGCAGCAGUGGGGAAUAUUGGACAAUGGGGGCAACCCUGAUCCAGCCAUGCCGCGUGUGUGAAGAAGGCCUUCGGGUUGUAAAGCACUUUAGGUCGGGAGGAAGGUUCGCUGGCUAAUAUCCAGCGGAAUUGACGUUACCGACAGAAUAAGCACCGGCUAACUCCGUGCCAGCCGCCGCCGUAACAC
rnacentral:rRNA from 1 species